UAUUGAAGCUAGUUAGUUAAGAUGACACUUAAAUGUUAAUUAGUUGUUAGCUGUAGUUAGUGGAAGUAGAAAGUUGGUUAGACUAGUAACUAACUAUAAUGCUAAAGUGUCCAGCUGUGAUGAUCAGUUAAAUCACACUAUAAAUACUUGUAUGUGCCUUUAUAGUUUUAGUUUGAUAUGAAAUAAAUUUCUCUCUUCUAUCUUCUCUCAAAAUGCUUCCGCCAUUAAUGUAGCUUGAGCUUACAAGCUAAGUAUGAAAUCUAACAUGGUAUCAGAGCAGUGUUGACUGGAAUUACACGCUCAAACAAAUAGAUUCUUCAAUUGCGAAUAAGAAAUGGCUGGAAACUUAGAAACAGAACCAGCUGAAGAUCGACAGACUCAGGUAAUUACUGAAAAAAUCAAUAACACACAUCCAUUGUUUGUUCACCCGUCAGAUACUCCAGGAUCGGUGUUGAUUCCCACAAAAUUGACUGGAUCUGAAAAUUACGGGUUAUGGAGACGAUCUAUGACGAUAGCCUUGCAAGCAAAAAGGAAAUUGGGAUUUGUUAACGGGACCUGUAGGAAGGAGCAAUUCGGUACUGAUCUACAUGAAGAUUGGGAGACUUGUAAUGCGAUUGUUUUAUCCUGGAUUAUGAACACAGUUUCUAUGCAUCUUCUCAGUGGGAUUGUGUAUUCGUCAAAUGCACAUCUGGUAUGGGAGGAUCUGAAGGAGAGGUUCGAUAAAGUCAAUAGAAUUCGAAUUUUUCAGUUACAUCGAGAGAUCGCGAUGAUAUCGCAAGGAACUGAUUCUAUAGCUACGUAUUUUACAAGGCUAAGAGAACUUUGGGCUGAAUAUGAUGAUUUGGUUCCCACACCUAGGUGUGAUUGCGUGAAAUCUAGGGAUUACAUUGAACACCUUCAGGGCCAGAGAUUACUGCAAUUUCUUAGUGGUUUGAAUGAUUCUUAUGAGCAAGUACGCAGGCAAUUAUUGCUCAAAACUAUUGAACCAUCACUAAAUCAAGCGUAUGCCAUGAUUAGUGAGGAUGAGAGUCAAAGAUCAUGUCCUUUUCCAGCUAUUGGAGGAAAGAGUGAACAUCUUGCCAUGCAAAUCAAUAGAGGACAACCAUAUAGGGGUAAAAAGCCCUUUGUCAAGUGCGAUCAUUGUGGACGAGGAGGACAUGUAAAAGGAGACUGCUACUGGUUGGUUGGUCGUCCAGAGGAGCAAAAGGGGACUCCUGAUGAUGACUCUAGGAAAAGGAACUAUGCAGCAAACAAUAACAAAAAGCCAUACAACUCGCAAUUUCAGAGACAAAAGAACUUUAAUGCAAAUAAUGUUGUAAGUGAUGAUAGGAGACACUAUGCAACUGAAAAUGAAGGGAGUUGCUCAAUGAAGAAUGGAGCUGGUGAUCAGGUUUUCACAGAUGAACAGUACAAACAAUUGCAGCAGCUAUAUGGGAGAAAUGCUCCUUUGUUUUCAGAUGAACAAUACAGACAAAUUCAGGAGAUGAUGAAUGAUAAGAAGGAACACACAAAUCAGCACAAUCUGGCAGGUACUGUUACAUCUCUAUUAUCUGCAUUCUCUUCAAAGGAAUGGAUCAUAGAUUCUGGUGCCACUCAUCACAUUGCAUCUAAUCUGGACAUGUUAAAGGAUUCCGUGGAGAUUAAUUGUUCUAGUAAUCAACAGGUUCACUUGCCAAAUGGUGAAAAAUCUAAAAUCACUCAUACAGGAAUUGCUGAGUUCCUAGAAGGGCUGCGAGUUGACAAUGUUUUAUGUGUUUCGGACUUCAAAUACAACUUGAUAUCAGUUUCCAAACUAACCAAGAGCCUAUCCUGCUCUGUCACUUUCUUUCCUGACUUUUGUAUAUUUCAGGAUCUUUACAAUGGCAAGGUGAGGGGGAUUGGUAAAGAGGAAGGAAGCUUGUACAUUGUCAAGUCUCAUGAUAUGUGCUCAACCAAUAGUACUAAAUUGUCUUCAGAUAAGGCAAAAGAUACUGAACUUUGGCACCAAAGACUAGGUCACCCAUCUUUACAAGUCAUGCAGAAACUUGGGUUGACUCAGAAAAUAAAUUCCACAGCAGAUUGUCCAAUAUGUCCAUUGGCUAAGCAGAGUAGNNNNNNNNNNNNNNNNNNNNNNNNNNNNNNNNNNNNNNNNNNNNNNNNNNNNNNNNNNNNNNNNNNNNNNNNNNNNNNNNNNNNNNNNNNNNNNNNNNNNGUGUCCAGGAGCUCUGCAGAAGCAGAGUACAGAAGCUUAGCUGCUGCAACAUCUGAGAUUAUUUGGCUGCUGGGAUUGUUUAGUGAGUUGGGAGUUGAAGUGAAGAAACCUGUGGAUGUAUAUUGUGAUAGCAAGGCUGCCAUUCAGAUUGCAGCAAAUCCAAUUUUUCAUGAACGCACCAAACAUAUAGAGAUAGAUUGUCAUUUUGUUAGGGAUAAAAUCAAGGAAGGCAAAGUGCAGACUCAACAUGUUGGAACAAGAGAUCAACAAGCAGACUUACUCACAAAAGGCCUUGGAAGAAAUCAACAUGUGUAUUUGUUAAACAAGCUGGGAGUGCUUGAUCUAUUACACCCUCCAGCUUGAGGGGGAGUAUUGAAGCUAGUUAGUUAAGAUGACACUUAAAUGUUAAUUAGUUGUUAGCUGUAGUUAGUGGAAGUAGAAAGUUGGUUAGACUAGUAACUAACUAUAAUGCUAAAGUGUCCAGCUGUGAUGAUCAGUUAAAUCACACUAUAAAUACUUGUAUGUGCCUUUAUAGUUUUAGUUUGAUAUGAAAUAAAUUUCUCUCUUCUAUCUUCUCUCAAAAUGCUUCCGCCAUUAAUGUAGCUUGAGCUUACAAGCUAAGUAUGAAAUCUAACAUAAGUCUCUUUUAAUUUGGUUUUGUCAAUAUUAUUCAACAUAAAUUAUGCAUGCAUA
rnacentral:lncRNA from 1 species